rnacentral:rRNA from 1 species
UACAGAGGUCUCAAGCGUUGUUCGGAUUCAUUGGGCGUAAAGGGUGCGUAGGCGGCGCGGUAAGUCGGGUGUGAAAUCUCGGAGCUUAACUCCGAAACUGCAUUCGAUACUGCCGUGCUUGAGGACUGGAGAGGAGACUGGAAUUUACGGUGUAGCGGUGAAAUGCGUAGAUAUCGUAAGGAAGACCAGUGGCGAAGGCGGUUCUCUGGGCAUGUCCUGACGCUGAGGAGCGAAAGUGUGGGGAGCGAACAGG